rnacentral:piRNA from 1 species
UGCCAUUUUCGUUGCCAUACCCUCUUGCCU